CUGGUCUGAUGGCUGGGAAAUCCCAGAUGAUCGGAGUCUGAGGACCUGCUGCAGCCUUCAUUCGCUUUUCACAGCUGCUGGGUUACAAGCCCUCACCUCCUCCGCCUUGGAGGACUUGUUGUUUCACCAGAGGUCCAUUAGCCGUCUCAUGUUCAGGUUCCUGUUGGACCUUCAUGGUCACUGCAUCGGUCAAA